rnacentral:rRNA from 2 species
ACCGAGUGCUUGCACUCACCGAAUAAAGAGUUGAGUGGCGAACGGGUGAGUAACACGUGGGCAACCUGCCCAAAAGAGGGGGAUAACACUUGGAAACAGGUGCUAAUACCGCAUAACCAUAGUUACCGCAUGGUAACUAUGUAAAAGGUGGCUAUGCUACCGCUUUUGGAUGGGCCCGCGGCGCAUUAGCUAGUUGGUGGGGUAAAGGCUUACCAAGGCAAUGAUGCGUACCGAACUGAGAGGUUGAUCGGCCACAUUGGGACUGAGACACGGCCCAAACUCAGACGGGAGGCAGCGAGUAGGGAAUCUUCCACAAUGGGCGAAAGCUGAUGGAGCAACGCCGCGUGGGUGAAGAAGGUCUUCGGAUCGUAAAACCCUGUUGUUAGAGAAGAAAGUGCGUGAGAGUAACUGUUCACGUUUCGACGGUAUCUAACCAGAAAGCCACGGCUAACUACGUGCCAGCAGCCGCGGUAAUACGUAGGUGGCAAGCGUUAUCCGGAUUUAUUGGGCGUAAAGGGAACGCAGGCGGUCUUUUAAGUCUGAUGUGAAAGCCUUCGGCUUAACCGGAGUAGUGCAUUGGAAACUGGGAGACUUGAGUUCAGAAGAGGAGAGUGGAACUCCAUGUGUAGCGGUGAAAUGCGUUGAUAUAUGGAAGAACACCAGUGGCGAAAGGGCUCUYUGGUCUGUACUACGCCGAGGUUCAAAGCGUGGGUGCAACAGGAU